GACGAACGCUGGCGGCGUGCUUAACACAUGCAAGUCGAACGGAAAGGCCCUGCUUUUGUGGGGUGCUCGAGUGGCGAACGGGUGAGUAACACGUGAGUAACCUGCCCUUGACUUUGGGAUAACUUCAGGAAACUGGGGCUAAUACCGGAUAGGAGCUCCUGCUGCAUGGUGGGGGUUGGAAAGUUUCGGCGGUUGGGGAUGGACUCGCGGCUUAUCAGCUUGUUGGUGGGGUAGUGGCUUACCAAGGCUUUGACGGGUAGCCGGCCUGGGAGGGUGACCGGCCACAUUGGGACUGGGAUGCGGCCCGGACUCCUACGGGAGGCAGCAGUGGAGAAUAUUGCACAAUGGGCGGAAGCCUGGUGCAGCGACGCCGCGUGCGGGAUGACGGCCUUCGGGCUGUAAACCGCUUUCGCCUGUGACGAAGCGUGAGUGACGGUAAUGGGUAAAGAAGCACCGGCUAACUACGUG
rnacentral:rRNA from 1 species